rnacentral:lncRNA from 1 species
ACCGUCAGUGAAGAUGUGAGGGCCAUCCCUCCCUGUCAGUGUUUAGGAGCCACACAGACUAUAGGCAGGGGGUGUGGUCCUCCCCUCUCCCAAGAGCUGACUUCUGUGAUCCUCGAUGAAACACAGACCCCACCUUUUCCCAGCCUUCUCCUGUUGCUGUAAAUAUUUAACAAGUAGUGUGACAGUUGGAUCCUAUUACCAAAGCCACUGUGACUUGGUGAAGGGAAGAAGUGCAGAAGAAAGAUUCACUGUGGGAGGAGAAUUUUCCCAGACUGUCACCUGAAAGGGUGAAGAGGGAUGUCUGAGCCCAUGAACGGGGACUAGGGUAAGUCAGUAUAUUAGGUCCACCCAGCCCUUUGUCUCCCUAAGUA